rnacentral:rRNA from 1 species
UUCUUUGCCGAGCUCCUCAGCCAGAAGCCGCCUUUGGGGGUGGCUUGGCUUGCCUCCGGAGACUUUAAUCAAAUUUAUCGGGCGAGAGACAAGAACAAGAGAAAUGUUCACCAUGGCAGGAUCAACCGUUUUCGGGCCACGCUCCAUAGUUGCGAGCUCAAAGAAAUCCAUCUCCAAAAUCGAAGGUUCACUUGGAGCAACGAGAGGGAAAACCCAACGCUAUGCAAGCUUGACUCUUUUUUCUGCAAUGCCGAGUGGGAUACAACCUUCAACACGCAUAUCCUCCAUGCACUUUCAUCAUCCCUCUCCGAUCAUUGUCCGCUUUUGCUUGCCGAUGACAAGGGCCCGCGGAGGCCA